rnacentral:rRNA from 1 species
GAGUUUGAUCUUGGCUCAGAGUGAACGCUGGCGGCAUGCCUAACACAUGCAAGUCGAACGGUAACAGGCCCGCAAGGGUGCUGACGAGUGGCGGGACGGGUGAGGAACACAUCGGAAUCUGCCCGGUUGUGGGGGAUAACGUAGGGAAACUUACGCUAAUACCGCAUACGACCUUAGGGUGAAAGCGGGGGAUCAGCAAUGACCUCGCGCAGUCGGAUGAGCCGAUGUCGGAUUAGCUAGUUGGCGGGGUAAAGCCCACAAGGCGACGAUCCGUAGCUGGUCUGAGAGGAUGAUCAGCCACACUGGGACUGAGACACGGCCCAGACUCCUACGGGAGGCAGCAGUGGGGAAUAUUGGACAAUGGGGGCAACCCUGAUCCAGCAAUGCCGCGUGUGUGAAG